UCCUCAAGCGGUACGCUAGUCGAGCAAGAUGGUAUGUAGUUUGUAUCGAUAAAUUCUGCAGUAAUCGUUUAAUGAAACGUAUAGUGUUUAAUUAAAUAUUUAAUAAUGGCAUCCAAUAAAACGGAAGGUACAGCUACCAUCAGAACAAGAAAGUUCAUGACCAAUCGGCUUUUAUGCCGAAAACAAAUGGUCGUAGAUGUAAUCCAUCCUGGCCAACCAUCGGUUCGUAAAACCGAAAUACGCGAGAAACUAGCCAAAAUGUACAAAGUAACACCAGAUGUUGUCUUUGUGUUUGGCUUCCAAACCAACUUUGGCGGUGGCAAAUCUACUGGAUUUGCGCUUAUUUAUGAUACUUUGGACUUUGCAAAGAAAUUUGAACCUAAAUAUAGGUUAGCAAGGCAUGGUCUCUUUGAAAAACAAAAGCAAACCAGGAAACAACGUAAAGAACGCAAGAACAGAAUGAAAAAAGUUAGGGGUACUAAGAAGAGUAAAGUUGGAGCAGCGUCUAAAAAGGGAAGGAAGUAGACAAAUGAUCAUCAUUUGCAUUACAUAGUUCUGGAGAGGGAAUAUCUUUUUGCUUGAUCAGGUAAAACUACAAGCUAUUAUGAAGACCGCAAUCAUCACCGACGUAAAAGUUAUUAUAAUAUUGUACUAUGGAGCAUAGUUGUAAUUAUAAUAAAUUUUGCGGAAUAAACGUGUGCAUUCUUUUUGAUAAAAA